rnacentral:rRNA from 1 species
UAGGGAAUUUUCCACAAUGGACGAAAGUCUGAUGGAGCAACGCCGCGUGCAGGAUGAAUGCCUUCGGGUUGUAAACUGCUUUUAUAUGUGACGAUUAUGACGGUAGCAUAUGAAUAAGGAUCGGCUAACUCCGUGCCAGCAGCCGCGGUCAUACGGAGGAUCCAAGCGUUAUCCGGAAUUACUGGGCGUAAAGAGUUGCGUAGGCGGUUAAGUAAGUUGGUAGUGAAAGCGUGGGGCUCAACCUCAUAUCCAUUACCAAAACUGCUUUGACUAGAGCAUGAGAGAGGUGGCUGGAAUUCCCUGUGUAGGAGUGAAAUCCGUAGAUAUAGGGAGGAACACCGAUGGCGUAGGCAGGCCACUGGCUCAUUGCUGACGCUCAGGCACGAAAGCGUGGGGAGCG